GUUGCAGUCAAUAUAUUUUAUCUACACUUAAAUAAAUUUAGUUGACCUAACUUUUUUUUUUUUUUUAAGGUAGCUAAAAUAAACUGUUUGCAACCACUUACCUUAAAAAAAAAACAUUCAGUGCUCAAAAAUGAAAGAAUAGAAAAACUAAACUAUGGUAAAAAUCACUGAUGGUGUGUCUUGCAGUUUUGGGCCAAAUCGUAGUGAUCAACAAGUUUGCUGCUGCUCUUAAAAGUUUAUUCCAGUUUUCUCCAUGUUUGGCUCUGAUAAUUUCUAGAGCAUGCUGGAUAAAAGCUAUUCAAUGGAGGGUUUGUAUUCAAAACAUUCUUUUCUGUGACUAUCUGUUCAAUGGUUAAAAAGCUGAAAAUCUAGUCUAGUGAUCGAAAGGUGGUUGUAGCCCAGUUUUUCAAAUAUAAAUCAGAUUACUCGGCGCUUCACCUCAUAAUUGCUGCUUUCAGUUGUAUUUUAUAUUAUUUUAAUUUUAACCAGUUUUGUUGCUCUUAUUUAUUAGCAACCAAUAUGUCUGGCAUGGAAUUUUCCUGCAGGUUAGGAGAGGUUGUCCUUUAAGCACAAAAAAAUGUGUUUUAAUACUGAAUCCUUUCAUGGGCGACAGAUUGACACAGUGAAUGUACAUGGAGUGACAUAGAUUUCUUGUCCAUUACUGUGUGUGCAACCACAGUGAGAGUUUUCAUGUUUAUAGACGGGUUACUCGCUCAAAUAACCAACUAUCUGGUAGACUUUCGCCUGGAGUGAAAGUCCAGAAGCUCUCUGUAGUUGAAGGACACAUUUGUGAGGAGCUUAAAGACGUUGGUACCUCUCUUAUUUUAGGGUCCAAUGAGAAGUUGAAAAGAGAAAACACUUUGUGUGAACUCGGUUAUGUGAGAGAAUAAAUGGCAAUUCUAGACUGCCGUUUCCUGUGUGUGGUUUUUAGGAUGAAAAGGAAGUAGUAUGAAUGGUGCAACAGCAAAAUGAGUGUCUGAAUGAGUAGGGUUUUGGUAGAUGGUGCCACCCUGAUCGUCCAGACCACCCACCCGAUGCUGUGAAGGAUGUGUUAUUGUUUAACUUCAUGUCUGAACUUUCACUUGCUUUCAUGUUGUGAAUGUUAAAUGCACGCCAUUCUUCUUCCCGUUGUGAUGAAAUGACAAUCAGAAAUAUUUGCAGUCAGAUUAUAUUAAUCUCAUUCACACCCAACAUAUUCUGCAUUCAGCAGUGCACACAGACACAACACUAAAGCCAGUGUUUUGGUUCUAACAAAGCAUUUUACUCAGCUGUAAACAGUGCAUCAGUUCAGACUACUGAGACUCAUUGUACAAAGGAAAACGCUUACCUCUGUUACAUGCUAUUACAAACAAUACUAAUUUACUUUGUAUUUUAGAUCCACAUAAAAUGACCCCUAGAUAACACCUUAAAAACAGAAAAAGAUCCUUUAUUUCAUGUAGUGUUUUUGAGUUUGCAUCAUUUUAGACUGUCAGAAAGACCUCUAGUAGAUCUCAAAUUGUUGCCUGGUCAUAAAGACGUGUAGUUUGUCUGUCAGAAAAUAAGACAGACAUUUUGAGUUCAUAUGGUAAAACUGAUGUAUUACUUUAGCAUUAGCAAUACUGAAAAUACUAUGAUGUUAUGUGGAUAUUUAAUAGCAGUACCGAUUGCUAUUCUGUAAAAAGAAAAAAAAACUGUUUUCAGAGCACUGUACAACAAAUGGUUAUUUUUUUUGUCUCAAAAUAAAUAUUUAUUAUGUGUUUCAAAU
ensembl:lncRNA